UCUGCACAUUGCUACCGUAGAUCACCUGGACUUCCAACCACUUCUGUUUCCCUGUGCGUCCAUGGUCCUGGCUUCGCUUCACGUUAAGAACUCAGGAUAAGUUUGUUUUGGAACCCAGGAGAAUCUAUUUCUAUAUUUAUAUAUUUGCUUCAUCAUGCAUCACAAUAAUAUAAAAUGGGCCACAAUUCUCAUGUCAAGAGAUAACGUGUUUGCAAAGUUACAAAUGUCAGCCAUAAGGAUGCAUAGGUUACUGUAAUCCCAUUCAUAUGAAAUUUAAUUAAAUCAUUUGAAAUGAACUGUUAAAUUCAAAGAAAUCUGAAAACUAGCUCUAUCCAGGUUCAUCUAUUAAACCUAUCAUGCACGUCA